rnacentral:rRNA from 1 species
CCUGGGGGUAACCCGAAGGUCGCCACUAAGCGCCCACGGUAAACCAGUGAUUGGGACU